CUGCAGGAACAAGACCGCAGCAGUGUUGGGUGUGCGUUUGCAUCCACAGCAGAGAAGCAGCACUUGGAGUGAUGAGUGUGCGCCACAGUGACUGGACAGAAUAACUGGAGAUUGCUUGGGUUUUCACCCAAACACCCUGUACAAUGUCAGGGCACACAGUUCCAGAACAAGAUGGAGGCAAGACUUCUGUGAGACAAGUUGUGAAGUCUGAAUGUUCCAAGAUUUCUCUAAGUGAAUGGAAGAUGUUUCUCAGCACUGCUAUCACCUCCUGCUGUGCCACUGCUGAUGUCCCGCAGAAAAAGGAGGUUCCAGGAAUACUUACAACACAAAGAGAGCAAGAAAGGCUCACAAUGAAGCAACUAUAUCACUGCAGCUACUACAGAAACUACCAAAGUUCCUUUCUGAUAGAAACAGUACUGUUAUCUGAGAAAAUUCCAUUGUAUUUCCAUUUGGUGAGUUUCUUUGGCUUAAGGAUCUUCAUUUUAUUAUGCAGCAAAGCUCUGAGCCACUUUGCCAAGUUCAUGUCUUUACACGUUGAGUGAGAAGUUACUGAGUCAAGAGGACACACAUUCUUUUCUAUUCUUCCCACAACUUUUUUUAGUGAGUGGUAAAUCUGCUUCACACUACUUGGUGAAAGACCACCUCAGCUUAUGUUUGAGGUCUCUGGAUCUAAUUCAGAAAAAGACAUAUACUACCGAUAAAGCCUUCAGGGAGCACACAUGGUGCAUCAGCUUCCACACAGGUAGUUAUCAAGCCACAUACAGGAACUUGGAUGCAAAACAUAUACAGAUUAAGAGAGUUUGUUGGGACUUCCAGGCAAAACUUCUGCCUCUUCUGGGAAAAAAAGCACAAGUUUUUUUCCUUACACUGGCUUGUUCACAGAGAAAAACCAGUUAGAGGAAACAGUGGAAAGUGAAUGUCCUCAGCAGCUUCCUCUUUUAC
rnacentral:lncRNA from 1 species